rnacentral:rRNA from 1 species
AUUGAACGCUGGCGGCAGGCCUAACACAUGCAAGUCGAGCGAGCGGCGGACGGGUGAGUAAUGUGUGGGAACCUGCCAGCUGGAGAGGGAUAACUACUGGAAACGGUAGCUAAUACCGCAUACGAUCCGGUGUGUCCAGAUGGGACUAGCUGGUAGGUGGGGUAACGGCUCACCCAGGCGACGAUCCCUAGCUGGGCUGAGAGGAUGACCAGCCACACUGGAACUGAGACACGGUCCAGACUCCUACGGGAGGCAGCAGUGGGGAAUAUUGCACAAUGGGCGCAAGCCUGAUGCAGCCAUGCCGCGUGUGUGAAGAAGGCCUUCGGGUUGUAAAGCACUUUCAGCGGGGAGGCGUUACCCGCAGAAGAAGCACCGGCUAACUCCGUGCCAGCAGCCGCGGUAAUUC